AUGCAGAUCUUCGUCAAGUUCAUCAAUGGCGAGACCAUAACUCUCAAAGAGGUCGCAAGAUCAGAUACGAUCUACAGCGUGAAGGCUAAGAUCGAAGACAAGGAGGGCAUCCCUGCAGGCCACCAGAGACUCAUAUUUGAGAAUGAGCAGCUGGUGGGCGGCCGCACCCUCAAGGACUACAACAUCAAGGAGAGGUCCACCCUUGACCUUAUCUUCCAAGGGAUGCAUAUCUUUGUGGAGACGCCCGGUGUGAUGACCAAGACGCUCGAGGUUGAGAAUGCAGAUACCAUAUACAGCGUGAAGGCGAAGCUGUUCGAUGAGACCGGAUAUGUCCCGGGAAUGCAGCGCAGCAUGUUUGCCGGGAGGGAGCUGGAGGAAGCCCGCACCUUGGCCGACUACGACGUCCAGAACGAUUCCACCGUUCGUCUUGCGCUGCGCCCCUGGAGGCUGAAGGACAGGAGGCACAUCUGGGUCAGGACGGCGACGGGCAGGACCAUCAUCAGGUACUGCGCCAUGUCCUCGGAGUCUGUCGGCGAUGUCAAGGACAAGAUCUUUGUCGAGCUGGGCAUCCCCACGGAGCAGCAGUGCCUUUCCUGGGGUGAAGGCGGGGCGGCGCUGGAGAACUGGUGCACCGUGGAGGAGACGGAGCGCUACCUCGUUCUGCGGCUCCGCCUUCCUUCCUGA
rnacentral:rRNA from 1 species